rnacentral:rRNA from 1 species
CCUACGGGAGGCAGCAGUGGGGAAUAUUGGACAAUGGGGGGAACCCUGAUCCAGCCAUGCCGCGUGUGUGAAGAAGGCCCUCGGGUUGUAAAGCACUUUCAGUGAGGAAGAACGCCUGGUGGUUAAUACCCAUCAGGAAAGACAUCACUCACAGAAGAAGCACCGGCUAACUCCGUGCCAGCAGCCGCGGUAAUACGGAGGGUGCGAGCGUUAAUCAGAAUUACUGGGCGUAAAGCGCGCGUAGGUGGCUUGAUAAGCCGGUUGUGAAAGCCCCGGGCUCAACCUGGGAACGGCAUCCGGAACUGUCAAGCUAGAGUGCAGGAGAGGAAGGUAGAAUUCCCGGUGUAGCGGUGAAAUGCGUAGAGAUCGGGAGGAAUACCAGUGGCGAAGGCGGCCUUCUGGACUGACACUGACACUGAGGUGCGAAAGCGUGGGUAGCAAACAGGAUUAGAUACCCCGGUAGUC